rnacentral:rRNA from 1 species
UACGUAGGGUGCGAGCGUUAAUCGGAAUUACUGGGCGUAAAGCGUGCGUAGGCGGUCACAUAAGCUUGAUGUGAAAGCCCCGGGCUCAACCAGGGAAUGGCAUUGAGGACUGUGUGGCUUGAGUGCGGCAGAGGGAGGUGGAAUUCCACGUGUAGCAGUGAAAUGCGUAGAGAUGUGGAGGAACACCGAUGGCGAAGGCAGCCUCCUGGGCCGACACUGACGCUGAGGGCACGAAAGCGUGGGGAGCAAACAGG